rnacentral:rRNA from 1 species
AUGCAAAUGCAGUUCCCGGAGGGGUUGCUGCAGCAAUGGCCGUCGCGGUUGGAGCCCGAGCCAGCUCCGAUGAUGUCGGCCGGGCUGGGCCUCGGGUUACCAGAUGACUCUACCGGCGGUCCGAUGGGGUUGCCGGAGCUCAUGAUGGGCCAGUCAUCACUGUUCAGUGCCAAGCCGGCCACGCUGGACUUCCUAGCGCUCGGGAUGAGCCCCACCAGUGCAGCAACGAGCAGGGGCCUCCCCGUGUUCAUGCAGCCCAUGGGCGGCGCGGUCGGCAUGGCCCGGACCGGCAGCGGCGUGGCGGAGACGUUUGGCUCCGGCCCGAGUGCUCAGGCCAAGCCGUGGGAGAGGAACCUGAGCAGCUCACUGAUCCUAUGA